rnacentral:rRNA from 1 species
CCUACGGGUGGCAGCAGUGGGGAAUAUUGCACAAUGGGGGAAACCCUGAUGCAGCGACGCCGCGUGAGUGAGGAAGUAUUUCGGUAUGUAAAGCUCUAUCAGCAGGGAAGAAAAUGACGGUACCUGACUAAGAAGCCCCGGCUAACUACGUGCCAGCAGCCGCGGUCAUACGUAGGGGGCAAGCGUUAUCCGGAUUUACUGGGUGUAAAGGGAGCGUAGACGGUUAAUCAAGUCAGAAGUGAAAACCCAGGGCUCAACCUUGGGACUGCUUUUGAAACUGAGUAGCUAGAGUGCAGAAGAGGUAAGCGGAAGUCCUAGUGUAGCGGUGAAAUGCGUAGAUAUUAGGAGGAACACCGGCGGCGAAGGCGGCCUGCUGGACCGCGACUGACGUUGAGGCUCGAAAGCGUGGGGAGCGAACAGGAUUAGAUACCCGGGUAGUC